rnacentral:rRNA from 1 species
AGAGUUUGAUCAUGGCUCAGAUUGAACGCUGGCGGCAGGCCUAACACAUGCAAGUCGAGCGGUAGAGAGAAGCUUGCUUCUCUUGAGAGCGGCGGACGGGUGAGUAAUGCCUAGGAAUCUGCCUGGUAGUGGGGGAUAACGUCCGGAAACGGACGCUAAUACCGCAUACGUCCUACGGGAGAAAGCAGGGGACCUUCGGGCCUUGCGCUAUCAGAUGAGCCUAGGUCGGAUUAGCUAGUUGGUGGGGUAAUGGCUCACCAAGGCGACGAUCCGUAACUGGUCUGAGAGGAUGAUCAGUCACACUGGAACUGAGACACGGUCCAGACUCCUACGGGAGGCAGCAGUGGGGAAUAUUGGACAAUGGGCGAAAGCCUGAUCCAGCCAUGCCGCGUGUGUGAAGAAGGUCUUCGGAUUGUAAAGCACUUUAAGUUGGGAGGAAGGGCAGUAAAUUAAUACUUUGCUGUUUUGACGUUACCGACAGAAUAAGCACCGGCUAACUCUGUGCCAGCAGCCGCGGUAAUACAGAGGGUGCAAGCGUUAAUCGGAAUUACUGGGCGUAAAGCGCGCGUAGGUGGUUCGUUAAGUUGGAUGUGAAAUCCCCGGGCUCAACCUGGGAACUGCAUUCAAAACUGACGAGCUAGAGUAUGGUAGAGGGUGGUGGAAUUUCCUGUGUAGCGGUGAAAUGCGUAGAUAUAGGAAGGAACACCAGUGGCGAAGGCGACCACCUGGACUGAUACUGGCACUGAGGUGCGAAAGCGUGGGGAGCAAACAGGAUUAGAUACCC